ensembl:lncRNA
CAGGCCAAUAGAAAUGCUGUCGUAUCCGGGCCAGGGUCCGAUCCACACCAGCAUGGGCAGCAGCUUCAUGGACCUUUUUCCAGACCUCUUCGCACCUUGAGCUUGGACACACCACCUGGAAGCAUACUUCAUGGGGUUUAGCUCGAUGGCUGCCGUGGUCACGCCUGUUCCUGUCUCACACUCCUGGUCUGCAACCCUGGCAGGGAUGGGGUCAACUGGAAACCUGGGCAGAGCAUCUGCAUUAGCAUUGCUUUUACCUGGGCGGUACUUGACGUCGUAGUUGAAAGAAGCCAGCUGAGCGACCCAGCGUUGUUCCACAGCACCCAGGCGAGCCGUCUGCAGUUUCAGGCCAUGCCGCAACAAUCUUUGGAUCACCUCAUCCAAAUGCUGUAGGUGAGAGGAAAAAUCAGGUGAGUAUAUUAUG